rnacentral:rRNA from 1 species
CAGCCGCCGCGGUAAUACGAAUGGGGCUAGCGUUGUUCGGAUUUACUGGGCGUAAAGCGCACGUAGGCGGAUUCUUAAGUCAGAGGUGAAAUCCCAAGGCUCAACCUUGGAACUGCCUUUGAUACUGGGGAUCUCGAGUCCGGGAGAGGUGAGUGGAACUGCGAGUGUAGAGGUGAAAUUCGUAGAUAUUCGCAAGAACACCAGUGGCGAAGGCGGCUCACUGGCCCGGUACUGACGCUGAGGUGCGAAAGCGUGGGGAGCAAACAGGAUUAGAUACCCCAGUAGUCCCUGUCUCUUAUAC